GCGCGCAUUAAAGUUGUAGCAGAUGCAUAGUUACUUAAAAGGUUGAUGUCUUGAUAAGGAUUCGCAUGGAGUAGUAGAAAAUUAGCAACAUAAAAACCUCAUUUGUAACUGUAAGACUACUGAUGAAUUGAGAAUCGUAAAUAUAAUAUUCUUUUAACUGCACUUGCUAUCUUAAACAGACAAGGGAGCAUACAUGCAUACACAUAAUAUGCGCCAAAGAGAAGAAAAAUUCAAACCAAAGACUCAUCCCAAGCAUACCCUAUUCCUUUACCAUCUUGGCCCAAGUCCAGGGCUAAAAUAUCUGUAAUAGGUUGCAAAUAAUUAUUCAAGAAGAUGAUGCGAAUUUCCAAAACAGUACUCAUAAUGAGCUAGUAGCAAAAUUCCAAGAGCUCUGGCAAUUAUAUAACAAAGAAUGUAAAACUAUACUCGUAUAUCAACCAUUUGCAUGGACCAAAACAAUGUAAAUAAAUGCUUUACAGACAAAACCAACCCUAUUGAAUUAGAAAUAUUAAAUGGAU
rnacentral:misc_RNA from 1 species